UGGGGAAUAUUGCACAAUGGGCGCAAGCCUGAUGCAGCAACGCCGCGUGAGGGACGACGGCCUUCGGGUUGUAAACCUCUUUUAGUAGGGAAGAAGCGAAAGUGACGGUACCUGCAGAAAAAGCACCGGCUAACUACGUGCCAGCAGCCGCGGUAAUACGUAGGGUGCGAGCGUUGUCCGGAAUUAUUGGGCGUAAAGAGCUCGUAGGCGGUCUGUCGCGUCUGCUGUGAAAACCCGAGGCUCAACCUCGGGCCUGCAGUGGUACGGGCAGACUAGAGUGCGGUAGGGGAGAAUGGAAUUCCUGGUGUAGCGGUGGAAUGCGCAGAUAUCAGGAGGAACACCGAUGGCGAAGGCAGUUCUCUGGGCCGUAACUGACGCUGAGGAGCGAAAGCGUGGGGAGCGAACAGGAUUAGAUACCCUGGUAGUCCACGCCGUAAACGUUGGGCGCUAGAUGUGGGGACCAUUCCACGGUUUCCGUGUCGCAGCUAACGCAUUAAGCG
rnacentral:rRNA from 1 species